rnacentral:rRNA from 1 species
GACGAACGCUGGCGGCGUGCUUAACACAUGCAAGUCGAACGAUGAACCGGUUUCGGCCGGGGGUUAGUGGCGAACGGGUGAGUAACACGUGGGCAAUCUGCCCUGCACUCUGGGAUAAGCCCGGGAAACUGGGUCUAAUACCGGAUACGACACUCCGAGGCAUCUUGGGGGGGGGAAAGUUCCGGCGGUGCAGGAUGAGCCCGCGGCCUAUCAGCUUGUUGGUGGGGUAGUGGCCUACCAAGGCGACGACGGGUAGCCGGCCUGAGAGGGUGACCGGCCACACUGGGACUGAGACACGGCCCAGACUCCUACGGGAGGCAGCAGUGGGGAAUAUUGCACAAUGGGCGAAAGCCUGAUGCAGCGACGCCGCGUGAGGGAUGACGGCCUUCGGGUUGUAAACCUCUUUCAGCAGGGAAGAAGCGAAAGUGACGGUACCUGCAGAAGAAGCACCGGCUAACUACGUG